rnacentral:tRNA from 1 species
CCGGAAUAGCUCAGUUGGUAGAGCAGAGGACUGAAAAUCCUCGUGUCCC